AUCGAUUCUCAGUUCUUCCAAGUCACCAUUGCUGUGGAUUCCAGAAAGACUUCAAUGAAGAGUAGUGUAAGUUUCCUCAGUCUUCUCUACUCCAUAAGUCCUUUCUUCCCAGGGAGUCCUUGAUAUUUACCACGGUUCAAGCCUACAUCCCUGAGUAAGAAGAAUCCGCCUCCACGGAAGGAACAAGAGAACAUCCACCAAGCGAGCACCUGUCCAGAACAUUCUAUCUGGUUGCCCAGAGCAACUCAUGUUCCUCACAGUCUGCUUCACCCAUUUACCUUAGCUAC
rnacentral:lncRNA from 1 species